rnacentral:lncRNA from 1 species
AAAGUAGUGCGAGUGCGGAAAGUAAAUAAAAGUAGUGCGAGUGCGAGAAAUAAAUAAAGUAAAAGCGAGUGCGAGAAAUAAAUAAAGUAAAGGCGAGUGCGGGAAAUAAAUAAAAGUAAAGCGAGUGCGGGGAAAUAAAUAAAAGUAAAGCGAGUGCGGGAAAUAAAUAAAAGUAAAGCGAGUGCGGGAACUAAAUAAAAGUAAAGUGAGUGCGGGAAAUUAAAUAAG